CGCUGGCGGCGUGCCUACACAUGCAAGUCGAGCGGAGCUGGUCAUUGGAAAUUUUCGAAUGGAAGAUGGCAAGCUUAGCGGCGGACGGGUGAGUAACGCGUGGGCAACCAACCUUGAUCAGGGGGACAACAUUGGGAAACCAGUGCUAAUACCGCAUAGCUCUAACGGAUGGCAUCAUCGGUUAGAGAAAGAUUUAUCGGAUCAAGACGGGCCCGCGUCUGAUUAGCUAGUUGGUGAGGUAACGGCUCACCAAGGCGAUGAUCAGUAGCCGACCUGAGAGGGUGACCGGCCACACUGGAACUGAGACACGGUCCAGACUCCUACGGGAGGCAGCAGUGGGGAAUAUUGCACAAUGGGGGAAACCCUGAUGCAGCAACGCCGCGUGAGCGAAGAAGGCCUUCGGGUCGUAAAGCUCUGUCCUAAGGGAAGAUUUAGACGGUACCUUAGGAGGAAGCCCCGGCUAACUACGUGCCAGCAGCCGCGGUAAUACGUAGGGGGCAAGCGUUAUCCGGAAUUACUGGGCGUAAAGGGUGCGUAGGCGGUCUAAUAAGUCAGAGGUGAAAGACUAUUGCUCAACGAUAGCAAGCCUUUGAAACUAUUGGACUUGAGUGCAGGAGAGGAGAGUGGAAUUUCUUAGUGUAGCGGUGAAAUGCGUAGAUAUUAGAAGGAACACCCAGUGGCGAAGGCGACUCUCUGGACUGCAACUGACGCUGAGGCCACGAAAGCGUGGGGAGCAAACAGGAUUAGAUACCCUGGUAGUCCACGCCGUAAACGAUGAGUG
rnacentral:rRNA from 1 species